rnacentral:rRNA from 1 species
UAUAUAUGUGUUGCUGCAGUUGAAAAGCUCGUAGUUGGGAGUUGGAUAGUUUGGUGGGUGGUUCGGGUUUGGGAUUCUGUCCCUGCCUGUUAAAUUCACACUUGUGUGUUGCCCCCUCCACUUCUACUUUUUUUGUUCAUGUAAGGGUGAGUUUCCUCACCUCUACAUUUGAACGUGUUACUUUGAGUAAAUCUGAGUGUUCAAAGCAGACGGAAAUCAUCCGUCUUGAAAGUUGUAGCAUGGAAUAACGUGAUAGGACUCCGGUGGCCCUUUUCAGUUGGUCUAAGCCGUUCCGGAGUAAUGACUAAGAGGGACAGUCGGGGGCACUCGUACUUCCUUGUCAGAGGUGAAAUUCUUGGAUUUAGGAAAGACGAACCACUGCGAAAGCAUUUGCCAAGGAUGUUUUCAUUAAUCAAGAACGAAAGUUGGGGGCUCGAAGAUGAUCAGAGACCGUUGUAGUCCUAUUGACUGUAAACGAUGCCGACUGGGGAUCUGGGGUGUUAAUAUUUUGGCGUAUGGGAGUAGGAGAGGGUUCAACUCUUCUACCCCAAUCGCCCUCCCAGGCACCCUCCGAGAAAUCAAAGUGUAUGGGUUCCGGGAGGAGUAUGGUCGCAAGGCUUAAACUUGAAGGAAUUGACGGAAGGGCACCACAAGGCGUGGAGCCUGCGGCUCAAUUUGACUCAACACGGGGAAACUUACCAGGUCCAGACAUAGUGAGGAUUGACAGACGGAUUGUUAGUGAGGUGGGUUUAUACUCCCUCCACUCCUCUCACAUUAUUGAGAGCUCUAUCUAGAUUCUAUGGGUGGAGGGCAUGUCCGUUCGUAGUUGGUGGGUUAUCUUGUCAUGUUUAUUCCGGUAACGAACGAGACUCACCUGCUAAAUAGAGAGUAGAUGUGCACAUAUCUACAUCAUCUCUCUAGAGGACUCAUGACUACUACUUUAAGUCAGCAGAGCUGUGCAA